rnacentral:rRNA from 1 species
UAGGGAAUCUCCCACAAUGGGCGAAAGCCUGAUGGAGCAACGCCGCGUGUGUGAUGAAGGGUUUCGGCUCGUAAAACACUGUUGUAAGAGAAGAAUGACAUUGAGAGUAACUGUUCAAUGUGUGACGGUAUCUUACCAGAAAGGAACGGCUAAAUACGUGCAAG